GUCCAUCCAUUUAGUUUGGGCACUCUAGUGAGACUGCCGGUGACAAACCGGAGGAAGGUGGGGAUGACGUCAAAUCAUCAUGCCCCUUAUGGCCUGGGCUACAAACGUAAUACAAUGGCGUAUACAAAGGGAUGCGAAAGAGCGAUCUGGAGCAAAACUCAUAAAGUACGUCUCAGUUCGGAUUGAAGUCUGCAACUCGACUUCAUGAAGCUGGAAUCGCUAGUAAUCGCGGAUCAGCAUGCCGCGGUGAAUACGUUCUCGGGGUUU
rnacentral:rRNA from 1 species